GACGAACGCUGGCGGCGUGCCUAAUACAUGCAAGUCGAGCGGAAAUUUUAUUGGUGCUUGCACCUUUAAAAUUUUAGCGGCGGACGGGUGAGUAACACGUGGGUAACCUACCUUAUAGAUUGGGAUAACUCCGGGAAACCGGGGCUAAUACCGAAUAAUACUUUUUAACACAUGUUUGAAAGUUGAAAGACGGUUUCGGCUGUCACUAUAAGAUGGACCCGCGGCGCAUUAGCUAGUUGGUGAGGUAACGGCUCACCAAGGCAACGAUGCGUAGCCGACCUGAGAGGGUGAUCGGCCACACUGGGACUGAGACACGGCCCAGACUCCUACGGGAGGCAGCAGUAGGGAAUCUUCCACAAUGGACGAAAGUCUGAUGGAGCAACGCCGCGUGAGUGAAGAAGGAUUUCGGUUCGUAAAACUCUGUUGCAAGGGAAGAACAAGUAGCGUAGUAACUGGCGCUACCUUGACGGUACCUUGUUAGAAAGCCACGGCUAACUACGUGCCAGCCGCCGCCGUAAAAC
rnacentral:rRNA from 1 species